GGGCGCAUAGCUCAGCGGUAGAGCGCCGGCCUUACAAGCCGUCGGUCGCAGGUUCGAAUCCUGCUGCGCCCACC
rnacentral:tRNA from 1 species